rnacentral:rRNA from 1 species
ACUUGUGCUUUUGUCUCAAUUGCCGUGCCAAUGCCGCAUCUGUCGGAUGAAUGUUGUUGUUGACAAGUUGAAGAGCAUUGUUCUGCGUACAAUUGUAAUGGGUCCGUUGGUGCCGUUGCGUUCGUGUGUUUCGGCGCACGAUUGAACUGGUUAGUUGGGAAAAAAGUCAAUUAUUCAUCAUAAUUGAUCUGACUGCCGUGCGUAACGGUAUUCUCUCAUUGGUGUGAUGGACUUUGUUUGUGGCCAACGCUCGGUGUGUUUUUUCAUCUGUGGCGUCAAUGUUAGCCUCCCAUCCGACCCGUCUUGAAACACGGACCAAGGAGUUCAGUAGGCACGCGAGUCGUUGACGUUGUGCAUUGAACAGUCGAAGGCGUAAUGAAAGUAAGAAAAAAGUGAACGGUGCUUUUCUUGGGUGCCGUUUGCUUUUCAACAUGAUCGUCCUUUGUUGUUUUGUUUGGGUGUGUUGCUUGAUUUUUGUAACUUGCGCCGCCCUUCUUAAUAAUAUUUUGGACGCGCAGUGUUGUGCCGUUGAACAGUCGCACUGUUUGUCCAUCUCUCACGGGUUGGAGAAACAAUUGUCGAUCAGUCGGUUUCGGAGCGUGCACACUGGUACCCGAAAGAUGGUGAACUAUGCUUGAGCAGAAUGAAGCCAGAGGAAACUCUGGUGGAAGUUCGUAGCGGUGUUGACGUGCAAAUCACUCGUCUGACUUGAGUGUAGGGGCGAAAGACUAAUCGAACCAUCUAGUUGCUGGUUCCUUCCGAAGUUUCCCUCAGGAUAGCUGGCAUUUGUGUGUAACAAUUUUAUCCGGUAGAGCGAAUGAUUAGAGGUGUUGGGAACGCAAUGUUCUCAGCCUAUUCUCAAACUUCGAAUGGGUAAGUUUUUUUUUUCCCGACGUACGCAGUUUUAUCCGGUAAAGCGAAUGAUUAGAGGUCUUGGGGCCGAAACGAUCUCAACCUAUUCUCAAACUUUAAAUGGGUAAGAAGCCCGGCUCGCUGGCGUGGAGCCGGGCGUGGAAUGCGAGUGCCUAGUGGGCCACUUUUGGUAAGCAGAACUGGCGAUGUGGAAUGAACCAAAAGUCAGGUUAAGGUGCCAGACAUUGGCGCUCAUGAAAUACCAGAAAAGGUGUUGGUCGAUAUAGACAGCAGGACGGUGGCCAUGGAAGUUGGAAUCCGCCAAGGAGUGUGUAACAACUCACCUGCCGAAUCGACUAGCCCUGAAAAUGGAUAGCGUUUGAGCGCCAGGCCCAUACCUGACCGUCUCAGUUACGCACUUUUGUUGUUUCAAUGAUGAAGGUGUAAUGAACGUUGAGACGGGUAGGAAGGUCGCGACAGUGUUGCUUUGAAGAGUUUUGAGCGUGAGCUCGCUCGGAGCCGCUGUUGGUGCAGAUCUUGGUGGUAGUAGCAAAUAUUCAAGUGAGAACCUUGAAGGCUGAAGUGGAGCAAGGUUCCAUGUGAACAGCAGUUGGACAUGGGUCAGUCGAUCCUAAGAAAACGGCGAAAGCUUGUUCGAAUUUACGACAUAAAAAAUGUAAAACUGUGUGUGUGUAGUGUGCUUGUGUGUGUACUAUACUGAUAUAGCAGUAGUGGUGGUGGUGGUUUGUCAGUCAGCAGUAGUGUUUGUCUGUGGCGUGCUGCUGCUGCUGCUGCUAUUGUUUACUUGCUGUUGUUGUGUGUUGUUGUACACACACACCCACACAAUUCUGUGUGCAGUUGUCGUAUGUUUUCGAAAGGGAAUCCGGUUGAUAUUCCGGAACCGAGUAACGGAGACAAAGAGUAGCGCUUUAAUCUUCCGGUUGGCGUUCAACUCAAUCGCGCGGUAACGCAAGCGAACUCGGAAAAUGACCGUCGUGAGUUUCGAAAAGAGUUUUCUUUUCUUUUUAAGGGACGCAUUCCCUGGAACCGGGUUGUCCGGAGAUAGGGAUUCUGGUAUCCAUAAAACGCCGACUCUUUCACGGUGUUCGGAGCGCUCUCGUCGGUACGUGAAAAUCCGAGCGACGCCUGGUAAAUCUCGUACUUGGUCGUACUGAUAUCCGCAGCAGGUCUCCAAGGUGAACAGCCUCUGGCAUGUUGGAACAAUGUAGGUAAGGGAAGUCGGCAAAACGGAUCCGUAACUUCGGAACAAGGAUUGGCUCUAAGGGCUGGGCCGAUCGGGCUGAGGUUUCAAGCGUGCAGUGUAUGCUUGGCUGAGCUGUGCUGAGGAUUGAUUAGCUUGGUGCCGUUUGUUGACCCAAGCGGCUGUCCAGGUGGUCAUGUCUGAAGCAAAGCUGGCCGACAGACCGGCACGUGCAGAACCUGAGCUGCGCGGCUGUCAGUUUAUUUGUACAGACCGUUUCGGUCGGCAUUCAACAGCCAACUUAGAACUGGCACGGACACAAGGAAUCUGACUGUAUAAUUAAAACAAAGCAUUGCGAUGGCCGAUGAUCGGUGUUGACGCAAUGUGAUUUCUGCCCAGUGCUCUGAAUGUCAAAGUGAAGAAAUUCAACCAAGCGCGGGUAAACGG